rnacentral:tRNA from 1 species
GCGUCCGUAGCUCAGCUGGAUAGAGUACCUGGCUACGAACCAGGCGGUCGGAGGUUCGAAYCCUCCCGGACGCGCCA